rnacentral:rRNA from 1 species
UACGGAGGGUGCAAGCGUUAUCCGGAUUCACUGGGUUUAAAGGGUGUGUAGGCGGAUAUUUAAGUCAGUGGUGAAAUCUCCGGGCUCAACCCGGAAACUGCCAUUGAUACUAUUUAUCUUAAUUCUGUUGAGGUAGGCGGAAUACAUCAUGUAGCGGUGAAAUGCUUAGAUAUGAUGUAGAACACCGAUUGCGAAGGCAGCUUACUAAAACAGAUAUUGACGCUGAGGCACGAAAGCGUGGGGGAUCAAAACAGG